rnacentral:rRNA from 1 species
GAUGAACGCUAGCGGCAGGCCUAACACAUGCAAGUCGAGGGGUAACAUAGAAAAGCUUGCUUUUCUGAUGACGACCGGCGCACGGGUGCGUAACGCGUAUACAACCUACCUUUUAGCGGGGAAUAGCCCAGGGAAACUUGGAUUAAUGCCCCAUAGUAUAUAGACUUCUCCUGAAGUUUAUAUUAAACAUUUAUGGCUAUUAGAUGGGUAUGCGUCCUAUUAGUUAGUUGGUAAGGUAACGGCUUACCAAGGCAGCGAUAGGUAGGGGUCCUGAGAGGGAGAUCCCCACACUGGUACUGAGACACGGACCAGACUCCUACGGGAGGCAGCAGUGAGGAAUAUUGGACAAUGGGCGAGAGCCUGAUCCAGCCAUGCCGCGUGCAGGAAGACUGCCCUAUGGGUUGUAAACUGUCUUUUACAGAGGAAGAACCCACCCCCACGUGUGGGGGUUUGACGGUACUCUGCGAAUAAGGAUCGGCUAACUCCGUG